UCCGGAUGAUGAAACGCUGUCUCCGAUGUGCUGCACGGAGCCAGAGCCUGCAAAGGCGAACCCACUGGUGACUGCAGUAUUGGCAAGAGGAGAGAGAGUUCGUGUCGAACUGUCUGAUGGGA